CCGGCGUGCUAAUACAUGCAGUCGAGCGAGACCGAUGGGAGCUUGCUCCCUGAUGUUAGCGGCGGACGGGUGACUAACACGUGGGUAACCUGCCUGUAAGACUGGGUAUAAGCUCCGGNCAAACCGGGGCUAAUACCGGCAUGCUUGUUUGAACCGCAUGGGUCACCACAUAAAAGGUGGCUUCGGCUACCACUACAGAUAGACCCGCGGCGCAUUACCUAGUUGGUGAGGUAACGGCUCACCAAGGCGACGAUGCGUAACCGACCUGAGAGGGUGAUCGGCCACACUGGGACUGAAACACGGCCCANACUCCUACGGGAGGCGCAGUAUGGAAUCUUCCGCAAUGGACGAAAGUCUGACGGAGCAACGCCGCGUGAGUGAUGAAGGUUUUCGGAUCGUAAAGCUCUGUUGUUAGGGAAGAACAAGUGCCGUUCAAAUAGGGCGGCACCUUGACGGUACCUAACCAGAAAGCCACGGCUAACUACGUGCCAGCAGCCGCGGUAAUACGUAAGUGGCAAGCGUUGUCCGGAAUUAUUGGGCGUAAAGGGCUCGCAGGCGGUUUCUUAAGUCUGAUGUGAAAGCCCCCGGCUCNCCGGGGAGGGUCAUUGGAAACUGGGGAACUUGAGUGCAGAAGAGGAGAGUGGAAUUCCACGUGUAGCGGUUAAUGCGUAGAGAUGUGGAGGAACAC
rnacentral:rRNA from 1 species